GAUGAACGCUGGCGGCGUGCCUAAUACAUGCAAGUCGAACGAAACUUCUUUAUCACCGAGUGCUUGCACUCACCGAUAAAGAGUUGAGUGGCGAACGGGUGAGUAACACGUGGGCAACCUGCCCAAAAGAGGGGGAUAACACUUGGAAACAGGUGCUAAUACCGCAUAACCAUAGUUACCGCAUGGUAACUAUGUAAAAGGUGGCUAUGCUACCGCUUUUGGAUGGGCCCGCGGCGCAUUAGCUAGUUGGUGGGGUAAAGGCUUACCAAGGCAAUGAUGCGUAGCCGAACUGAGAGGUUGAUCGGCCACAUUGGGACUGAGACACGGCCCAAACUCCUACGGGAGGCAGCAGUAGGGAAUCUUCCACAAUGGGCGAAAGCCUGAUGGAGCAACGCCGCGUGGGUGAAGAAGGUCUUCGGAUCGUAAAACCCUGUUGUUAGAGAAGAAAGUGCGUGAGAGUAACUGUUCACGUUUCGACGGUAUCUAACCAGAAAGCCACGGCUAACUACGUGCCAGCAGCCGCGGUAAUACGUAGGUGGCAAGCGUUGUCCGGAUUUAUUGGGCGUAAAGCGAGUGCAGGCGGUUCAAUAAGUCUGAUGUGAAAGCCUUCGGCUCAACCGGAGAAUUGCAUCAGAAACUGUUGAACUUGAGUGCAGAAGAGGAGAGUGGAACUCCAUGUGUAGCGGUGGAAUGCAUAGAUAUAUGGAAGAACGCCAGUGGCGAAGGCGGCUCUCUGGGUCUGCAACUGACGCUGAGGCUCGAAAGCAUGGGUAGCGAACAGG
rnacentral:rRNA from 1 species